AGCGAACGCUGGCGGCAGGCCUAACACAUGCAAGUCGAACGGAUCCUUCGGGAUUAGUGGCGGACGGGUGAGUAACACGUGGGAACGUGCCCUUUGGUUCGGAACAACUCAGGGAAACUUGAGCUAAUACCGGAUGUGCCCUUCGGGGGAAAGAUUUAUCGCCUUUGGAGCAGCCCGCGUUGGAUUAGCUAGUUGGUGAGGUAAAGGCUCACCAAGGCGACGAUCCAUAGCUGGUCUGAGAGGAUGACCAGCCACACUGGGACUGAGACACGGCCCAGACUCCUACGGGAGGCAGCAGUAGGGAAUCUUGCGCAAUGGGCGAAAGCCUGACGCAGCCAUGCCGCGUGUAUGAUGAAGGUCUUAGGAUUGUAAAAUACUUUCACCGGGGAAGAUAAUGACGGUACCCGGAGAAGAAGCCCCGGCUAACUUCGUGCCAGCCGCCGCCGUAAUAC
rnacentral:rRNA from 1 species